GGAGGAGCUAAAGAGGACACAGGUGAGGCAGUGAGGCUUCAGGUAACAACAUUGACAGUUUUCAGGCACUAGAAGGCAGAAAUCUGAAGCUGUUCAACAGAUCCAACAAUUUCUAUUUCAGUUAACUAUUUUACAAAUCAAGUGAUUCAUUUAAAUGUUUAAUUUUCCUCUGUAGUAUCUGAUCUGAGCCAUGUAUUCCUUAAUAAGUUAGUAGAAUGGAAUCUGUUUGUUUGUUUGUUCUAGUAUCUGAUAUGAGUUACUUGUUAUAUUUAGUGUCUGCUCUGGUGUGGCUCUUUGUCUCUGACCACAGAUGGAACCUGCUUUACAUGCGUGACUAAAUCUACCCUUGCCAUUGGAAUGUGUUUUUCAGUUUUAGGAACAGAUCACUUGUUUUUUUGAGGCACCCAUGUCUAGCUAGAAGAUGGAUGUGUUCCUUUGGGAUUUCAGAGACGAGGGGUUCUAUUCAAGAGUGGUCUUGUUUUUGAGUAAGGGGUCUUCUAACAUGAACCAGAUGUUGUAAUUCUAUCCUUCACCAGAAGGUAUUAAAGCGACCUGACUUCUUUGUUCGGGGAGAGAUUCUUUUUGGUUUUGAAAUCCUCCACAGGAAAAUCUUGGGGCCUGUUCAGAUCCUGUCUUUAUCAUUCUGUGAGAUUCUUAUUGCAGGAUCCUCCACAGGGAAACCAUGUUGCCUGUUCAGAUGCUGUCUUUUUAUAAUAAAAUUAUAUUAAAAGCAACAGUGUCACCGGAUGUGUUGUUCAACCUCAGCACAUCUAAGAGAAACCACGACACCUCUAAAACAAGCAAAAGCAAUUUUCAAUUUAUUGUGACAAACUGUACACUAAAAAUGAUGUGAAAAAACUUUAAAAUUCCAACAGCUGAGACCAAACAAACCUUUCUGUAAGCUAGAAGAAAAAUAAUAUCUUAUAAAAACACAAUAAUCUUCCAUAAUUACAGCCUUACUUGUAAUUAUUGUGUAUUUUCUGUCUUGUCAUACCUGCAUCAUAUUCAACAAUAAACACUUAUUACAUUCAUUCAUAUUAAACUGAGCCAAUCAGUGUAAAGCCAAAAACAUAAAAAUGAAAAAUAAUUGAAGGAACUUACUUAAAAGCAUUUUCACAAUAUUAAAUGAUUUCUUACUUAAUUAACCAAUUCUGUUGUGUUAAUUCAACUUAUUCCCAAUGGUCUGUUCCAACUUUAUUUACUCAAGGACAGAAGAGAGAGGAGAGAAGACAUCUUCCUCUUCCUCUUCUGGAAGAACAUUCAAAGCAUGUUUAUUUUAAUAGAAUUUAAGUAAGUUAACCCUCAGUACCAAAUAAUGCAACCAGCUUGGUGUCAAGGGUUUAAGAAACACCAUUUAAUAGGAAUGAGUUGACAAUAAUGUCUAUUUUUCAAAACACAGUACAGUGCAACGCUGGAAGCUGUUUGUUCCAAAAUGUUUUAAUUAGAGGUGGGUUGUUUCUUUUCUUUCAAGGGUAAAUCUUCAGCGCUGCAGACUCACCUUCAGCCUUUUGUCAUGGUCAUUUAAAUCUCUAAACACAAAAUAGAUUGUAAAUAACCAAGCACAUCUCUUUAUUUGCCAAAGAUAACUGCUGUAUUUUAUUUUGGAGUUUUACGUGUAUUUAUAAUGUGUUAAUGUAUUUUACGGUUGAUGCUUUUAUUUUGAAAAGAGUAAUUCCUGUCGCAACUGAGCGCGAAUUAGCUUCUCGGCAACAAAAGACGGAAAAGGAUAAGGACACAGCGAGAAAUCAGCGCAUAAACAUGUAUUUUGCACUUAGUAGCCUCUUUGAAAGAGGCACAAGCUCUUACGGUGAAAUUUGAGGGUUUAAUGCCAAUAAACUUGAAAAUCCA